UACGGAGGGUGCGAGCGUUGUCCGGAAUCACUGGGCGUAAAGGGCGCGUAGGCGGCUUUUUAAGGGUGCGAUGAAAGCCCGGGGCUUAACCCCGGGUCGGCCGUGCCGACUGAAAAGCUGGAGCACUGUAGAGGCAGGUGGAAUUCCGGGUGUAGCGGUGAAAUGCGUAGAUAUCAGGAGGAACACCUGCGGUGUAGACGGCUUACUGGACCAUAACUGACGCUGAGGCACGAAAGCGUGGGUAGCAAACAGG
rnacentral:rRNA from 1 species